rnacentral:snRNA from 1 species
GUGUUCCCUUUGGCAGCACAUAUAUUAAAAUUGGAAUAAUAUAGAGAAGGUUAACAUGUCCCCUGUCCAAGGUUGGCAUGAAAAUUUGUGAAAUAUUCCGUAUUUUU